rnacentral:rRNA from 1 species
UACGAAGGGGGCUAGCGUUGUUCGGAAUUACUGGGCGUAAAGCGCGCGCAGGCGGCUAUCCAAGUCAGUGGUGAAAGCCCGGAGCUCAACUCCGGAACUGCCAUUGAAACUGUUUAGCUUGAGGAUGAGAGAGGUGAGUGGAAUUCCCAGUGUAGAGGUGAAAUUCGUAGAUAUUGGGAAGAACACCGGUGGCGGAGGCGGCUCACUGGCUCAUUACUGACGCUCAGGCGCGAUAGCGUGGGGAUCAAACAGG